UCGUCGGCGCCAUUAAGGUCGAGGUUAUCGCAUAUAAUUUCAACAACGUCAAUUUUUCGAGCAUCAACUUGGAACCCGGCCCGACUAGACAGGAGGAUUAGCUCGCGUGCCUAAGCCAGCCCGGAAAGGAAGACCCCUCGGGCUACGGGAAGUGACCCGCAGCACCCCUUGGUCCUGAAAAUGGAACUUUUUUAAUCUCACAAGUUUCGUCCGGAAACGAGCUUAUGUAAUCGUACCUUAUUAUCUUAUCCUGUCUCCAAGAUAAAACAACCAAAGAUCCUGGCGACAUUACUAAUUAUCCCUGUCAGCCCCCGUAGUCAUAAGUUAACAGUCUCCACUUUAAGAACCUAAAUAACUUCUGAUUGAAGACGCUUUCGUAAACGGUUCCUACAAAAGUAAUUAGUUCUUGCUUUCAAUCCCCUAGCUUCUGCUAGUCUAUGGCAGCAUCAGAAUUGGUAUUUGAUACGGCUGAUCCCUAGCCUACUACAAUUAAAAAAUUACUGAGU
rnacentral:rRNA from 1 species